rnacentral:rRNA from 1 species
CAGUAGCCGCGGUAAUACGUAGGGUGCAAGCGUUAAUCGGAAUUACUGGGCGUAAAGCGUGCGCAGGUGGUUAUAUAAGACAGAUGUGAAAUCCCCGGGCUCAACCUGGGAACUGCAUUUGUGACUGUAUAGCUAGAGUACGGCAGAGGGGGAUGGAAUUCCGCGUGUAGCAGUGAAAUGCGUAGAUAUGCGGAGGAACACCGAUGGCGAAGGCAAUCCCCUGGGCCUGUACUGACGCUCAUGCACGAAAGCGUGGGGAGCAAACAGGAUUAGAUACCCCAGUAGUCCCUGUCUCUUAUAC